rnacentral:rRNA from 1 species
AUUGAACGCUGGCGGCAGGCCUAACACAUGCAAGUCGAACGGUAGCACAGAGAGCUUGCUCUCGGGUGACGAGUGGCGGACGGGUGAGUAAUGUCUGGGAAACUGCCUGAUGGAGGGGGAUAACUACUGGAAACGGUAGCUAAUACCGCAUAACGUCGCAAGACCAAAGAGGGGGACCUUCGGGCCUCUUGCCAUCAGAUGUGCCCAGAUGGGAUUAGCUAGUAGGUGGGGUAACGGCUCACCUAGGCGACGAUCCCUAGCUGGUCUGAGAGGAUGACCAGCCACACUGGAACUGAGACACGGUCCAGACUCCUACGGGAGGCAGCAGUGGGGAAUAUUGCACAAUGGGCGCAAGCCUGAUGCAGCCAUGCCGCGUGUAUGAAGAAGGCCUUCGGGUUGUAAAGUACUUUCAGCGGGGAGGAAGGUGUUGAGGUUAAUAACCUCAGCAAUUGACGUUACCCGCAGAAGAAGCACCGGCUAACUCCGUGCCAGCAGCCGCGGUAAUACGGAGGGUGCAAGCGUUAAUCGGAAUUACUGGGCGUAAAGCGCACGCAGGCGGUCUGUCAAGUCGGAUGUGAAAUCCCCGGGCUCAACCUGGGAACUGCAUUCGAAACUGGCAGGCUGGAGUCUUGUAGAGGGGGGUAGAAUUCCAGGUGUAGCGGUGAAAUGCGUAGAGAUCUGGAGGAAUACCGGUGGCGAAGGCGGCCCCCUGGACAAAGACUGAC